CCUCUGGAUUGAGCUCCCCACCGACGAGCUCAGAGUCGACGACGAUGUCCUCCUUAAGUGGACACAAGAAGAAAAAAGAAGGAUUUUGUUUGAUUUUUUUGACGAGGGUAAUUCCAUCCAAAAAAUUUAUUGCAAGAUUAUUAAAAAUAUGGUAAUCUGGAUAGCCAUCCCUUCCCACGAUAAUCUGAAUUGUCUCAUGAGAGGCAAUCUAGAUUGUCAAGGUAAUUUGAAUUGUCAUCUAAAAAGUAUAUCAAG
rnacentral:lncRNA from 1 species